UACGUAGGGACCAAGCGUUGUUCGGAUUUACUGGGCGUAAAGGGCGCGUAGGCGGCAAUUCAAGUCAGUUGUGAAAUCUCCGAGCUUAACUCGGAACGGUCAACUGAUACUGUUUUGCUAGAGUACAGAAGGGGCAAUCGGAAUUCUUGGUGUAGCGGUGAAAUGCGUAGAUAUCAAGAGGAACACCUGAGGUGAAGACGGGUUGCUGGGCUGAUACUGACGCUCAGGCACGAAAGCGUGGGGAGCAAACAGG
rnacentral:rRNA from 1 species